rnacentral:rRNA from 1 species
UACAGAGGUCUCAAGCGUUUGUUCGGAUUCAUUGGGCGUAAAGGGUGUGUAGGUGGCGCCGUAAGUCGGGUGUGAAAUUUCGGAGCUUAACUCCGAAACUGCAUUCGAUACUGCGGUGCUUGAGGACUGGAGAGGAGACUGGAAUUCAUGGUGUAGCAGUGAAAUGCGUAGAGAUCAUGAGGAAGACCAGUGGCGAAAGGCGGGGUCUCUGGACAGUUCCUGACACUGAGACACGAAGGCCAGGGGGAGCAAAACGGG